GAUGAACGCUGGCGGCGUGCCUAAUACAUGCAAGUCGAGCGAACAGACGAGGAGCUUGCUCCUCUGACGUUAGCGGCGGACGGGUGAGUAACACGUGGAUACCCUACCUAUAAGACUGGGAUAACUUCGGGAAACCGGAGCUAAUACCGGAUAAUCUAUUGAACCGCAUGGUUCAAUAGUGAAAGACGGUUUUGCUGUCACUUAUAGAUGGAUCCGCGCCGCAUUAGCUAGUUGGUAAGGUAACGGCUUACCAAGGCAACGAUGCGUAGCCGACGUGAGAGGGGGGUCGGCCACACUGGAACUGAGACACGGUCCAGACUCCUACGGGAGGCAGCAGUAGGGAAUCUUCCGCAAUGGGCGAAAGCCUGACGGAGCAGCGCCGCGUGAGUGAUGAAGGUCUUCGGAUCGUAAAACUCUGUUAUUAGGUAAGAACAAAUGUGUAAGGAACUAUGCACGGCUUGACGGUACCUAAUCAGAAAGCCACGGCUAACUACGUG
rnacentral:rRNA from 1 species